GAACCGUUCAGCGAAGGGAGCGUGUGCAGUAGUUAACAUCGUCUUUGUGUUUUCUCCCCCAACAGCCCCCAAAGGUACUGCGGAGAGCACUUCUCAUAGACAGCCCAGGAACCGAGGAUAAGAGACGGCGGCCGAGGCGCCUGAGACGUGUGGGAGGCUCCCUCACCAAACACAAUUAAAAAACAGAAACAAAACCCAUAGUAUUUGCACUUUGUACUUUAAAUGUAAAUCCACUUUGUAGAAAGGAGAUAUUUAAACGGACUGCUUUGAUCUGUGAAGAGGGAGGGGCUGGCUUUGGCAGGUUAAUCACAUACAAUGUAUGUGUCCCUGUGACCGUGGACAUCGCCGCUGUUCGGGGCGGGCUUCCACUUGCUCUCUGGGUCCCCUGGGUGUCCGCGUGGCGGACGGCGGCUCGGGCACAGCGGCUGCAGCCGUGGCUCCUCCCUGGCACAGGAUGGGGCCCACAGGCACUCAGCUUCCUCCGGCCGCUGCUCUGAGACCCACCGUGCUGGCAGCCUCGGGUGGCUGUGGGAGCCCACACUUUGGUCUGUAAGGGUUGCCGUUAGCCGCCGGCCUGGCGUGCAGGUGGCGUGUGCCGGGCUGCGUGUCUCUGGGACCUGGUCCCUUUGCUCUGCUUUCUCGAGGUCUCACUCCCGUCACGUUGGCAACCACAACCGCGGCGAUGAUGGGGUCUGGGGGACAGUCCCUGACACCUUCGUGGGCCUGCUCUGCCACCUCAAGGUUGGCCGCAGGCAGUGAAAUCUACGCUGGGGGACUCCCUCCUCCCUGCGCUGGCUCCAGGCAGCGGGCAGGGUUCAAGGUCAGAGAGGAGUUGGCAUCAGGCCACAACUGCCAUCUGCCCACCUCUUCCCUUCCACCCGGCCUUGCCCUCCCGGGGCCCCUGGAAGGUGGACUGUGCCCUGAGCAGCUCCCAACAGUCUCCUUAAAGGAGGCGCUGGGACAGCUGGGCGCUGGGUGGCGCGCCCUUGGCAGGCAGGGCCCUGGCCCGGGUUCCGUCUCCUCCUCAUUCUUUCCUGAAGGCCCCGAGGGCACAAGAACUUGUCACUGGGCCAGUCCUCUGGGGGGCACUGGGGAGGGACCGGUCAGGACCGGAUGCUCACACCGAGAGCCACAGAACCGGCCCCUGUACAGCCAGGGGCCACUGUCCGGCUGGACCCCGCACUGAGUGGCCACGGCUCUGCGGCCCCUGGGAGGCCGGCGGGGGCCGCGUGUGACCAGCCGUGAGGCUGGCUCGGCUCCGACGUGUGGGCAGAAAAACACCUCCGUGGGCCUCACUCCCCAGCACGUGGCGGACACCGACCCCUGCGAAUAGGCGUGAAGACGGCGGCUUCUCCCUGUUUAAUGUGCAGAGUGAAAGCUGAACCUGGAGCCGCUAAACCCUCACCGUUGCUAAGGACACAAUUACACUCCUAAACUUAUUGAUAAUCUUUUCUAUUUCUGAACUUUGGACUUAAUCGUUUUUCUUAGAUUGAAAUAAAAGAUGCUAUCAAGACCGUC